rnacentral:rRNA from 1 species
AGUGAACGCUGGCGAUAGGCCUAACACAUGCAAGUCGAACGGCAGCACAGGAGAGCUUGCUCUCUGGGUGGCGAGUGGCGGACGGGUGAGGAAUACAUCGGAAUCUACUCUGUCGUGGGGGAUAACGUAGGGAAACUUACGCUAAUACCGCAUACGACCUACGGGUGAAAGCAGGGGAUCUUCGGACCUUGCGCGAUUGAAUGAGCCGAUGUCGGAUUAGCUAGUUGGCGGGGUAAAGGCCCACCAAGGCGACGAUCCGUAGCUGGUCUGAGAGGAUGAUCAGCCACACUGGACCUGAGACACGGUCCAGACUCCUACGGGAGGCAGCAGUGGGGAAUAUUGGACAAUGGGCGCAAGCCUGAUCCAGCCAUACCGCGUGGGUGAAGAAGGCCUUCGGGUUGUAAAGCCCUUUUGUUGGGAAAGAAAUCCAGCUGGCUAAUACCCGGUUGGGAUGACGGUACCCAAAGAAUAAGCACCGGCUAACUUCGUGCCAGCAGCCGCCGUAA